GAUGAACGCUGGCGGCGUGCCUAAUACAUGCAAGUCGAGCGAACAGACGAGGAGCUUGCUCCUCUGACGUUAGCGGCGGACGGGUGAGUAACACGUGGAUAACCUACCUAUAAGACUGGGAUAACUUCGGGAAACCGGAGCUAUUACCGGAUAAUAUAUUGAACCGCAUGGUUCAAUAGUGAAAGACGGUUUUGCUGUCACUUAUAGAUGGAUCCGCGCCGCAUUAGCUAGUUGGUAAGGUAACGGCUUACCAAGGCAACGAUGCGUAGCCGACCUCAGAGGGUGGUCGGCCACACUGGAUCUGAGACACGGUCCAGACUGCUACGGGAGGCAGCAGUAGGGAAUCUGCAGCAGUGGGCGAUAGCCUGACGGAGCAACGCCGCGGGAGUGAUGAAGGUCUGCGGAUCGUAAAACUCUGUGAGUAGGGAAGAACAAAUGUGUAAGUAACUAUGCACGUCUUGACGGUACCUAAACAGAAAGCCACGGCUAACUACGUG
rnacentral:rRNA from 1 species